rnacentral:rRNA from 1 species
AUUGAACGCUGGCGGCAUGCUUUACACAUGCAAGUCGAACGGUAACAGGCCGCAAGGUGCUGACGAGUGGCGAACGGGUGAGUAAUGCAUCGGAACGUGCCCAGUCGUGGGGGAUAACGCAGCGAAAGCUGCGCUAAUACCGCAUACGAUCUCUGGAUGAAAGCGGGGGACCGAAAGGCCUCGCGCGAUUGGAGCGGCCGAUGUCAGAUUAGGUAGUUGGUGGGGUAAAGGCUCACCAAGCCAACGAUCUGUAGCUGGUCUGAGAGGACGACCAGCCACACUGGGACUGAGACACGGCCCAGACUCCUACGGGAGGCAGCAGUGGGGAAUUUUGGACAAUGGGCGCAAGCCUGAUCCAGCAAUGCCGCGUGCAGGAAGAAGGCCUUCGGGUUGUAAACUGCUUUUGUACGGAACGAAACGGUCCUGGUUAAUACCUGGGGCUGAUGACGGUACCGUAAGAAUAAGCACCGGCUAACUACGUGCCAGCCGCCGCGGUAA